CAGCUCUCCGAGUGGUAGGGAUGAUUAUUGGGCUUAAAGCGUCCGUAGCCGGCUUAGCAAGUCUCCUGUUAAAUUCAGCGACCUAAUCGUUGAGCCGCGGGAGAUACUACUAGGCUAGGAGGCGGGAGAGGUCGACGGUACUCUCGGGGUAGGGGUGAAAUCCUAUAAUCCCGGGAGGACCACCAGUGGCGAAGGCUGUUGACUAGAACGCGCUCGACGGUGAGGGACGAAAGCUGGGGGAGCGAACCGGAUUAGAUACCCGAGUAGUCC
rnacentral:rRNA from 1 species